UCUAUUUUGGCAGAAAAAUUGUAUCAAAUUUAGAAUUUGAAUAUGAUCAUAUCAAAUAGAA
rnacentral:tRNA from 1 species